UGCGUAGGCGGUCCUAUAAGUAUGGUGUGAAAUCUCCCGGCUUAACUGGGAGGGUGCGCUAUAAACUGUGGGACUAGAGUGUGGGAGAGGAAAGUGGAAUUCCUGGUGUAGCGGUGAAAUGCGUAGAUAUCAGGAGGAACACCGGUGGUGUAAACGGCUUUCUGGACCAUAACUGACGCUGAGGCACGAAAGCGUGGGUAGCAAACAGGAUUAGAUACCCUGGUAGUCCACGCCCUAAACGAUGCAUAUUUGGUGUGGGUCAUUCAGUUGAUCCGUGCCGGAGCUAACGCGUUAAAUAUGCCGCCUGGGGAGUACAGUCGCAAGGCUGAA
rnacentral:rRNA from 1 species